CUGUCAAUGGUGAGCUCCACGAUGCCAGGCCGAUGCCCUGCCCCCCAGGCCGGCCCCGGCGCUCCCGACGUGCAGAGAGCCGAGCGCCGCCCCGCAGCCCCCGCGCUCGCCUCCGCUCCGUUCCCCGCCAGGACUCGGCGAGAGCCCGAGCGGCAGCGGCGCAGGGCUCAGCCCCGGGGCGGAGCUGGCGGCGGCGGAGAGGAGGCGGCACGGCCGCAGCAGAGCCGGGGCUCAGCGGCACAGCGAGGCUCGGCCGGCGGAGCGGCGGCAUGCGGCGGGCUCGGGGCGCGGCGCUGCCGGCGCUGGCCGCGCUGGUCAUCGUGGCUGUGGUCAGAGCUCAGGUACAGCAGGAGCCAUUCCUGGAGACCACCGAGGGCACCGGCAUCAACAUCACCUGCUCACACCCCGAAAUCCAGAGCAGCCAAACAAUCUUCUGGUACCGACAAUUGCCUGGCCGGGGACCCGAAUACCUCGUGAGCAUUCACAAGGGCUCCAAAGAGCUGCCGGACAGUGCGGGCCGUGUGUGGGUGUCGGCAGAUCGGCGUGGGAGCGCGCUGUGGCUCGGGCGGCCCCGGCGCGGGGACGCGGCCGUGUAUUACUGCGCGCUGGGGCCACGGGCAGAGGAGCCGGGGCUGCGGCCGGGCACGAACCGCCGCGGGCGGGGCCGGGCGGGGCCAGCAGGGGGCGCUGCCGCUCCGCCCGCCGGGGCGCUGCCG